rnacentral:rRNA from 1 species
UACGGAGGGUGCGAGCGUUGUCCGGAAUCAUUGGGCGUAAAGGGCGCGUAGGUGGCCCGGUCAGUUCGUGGUGAAAGCGCGGGGCUCAACCCUGCGUCGGCCAUGAAUACUACCGCGGCUGGAGCACUGUAGAGGCAGGCGGAAUUCCGGGUGUAGCGGUGGAAUGCGUAGAGAUCCGGAAGAACACCGGUGGCGAAGGCGGCCUGCUGGGCAGUUGCUGACACUGAGGCGCGACAGCGUGGGGAGCAAACAGG